GAUGAAUGCUGGCGGCGUGCCUAACACAUGCAAGUCGAGCGCGGUCCAUUUGGUGCUUGCACCGAAGAAGACUGAGCGGCGGACGGGUGGGUAACGCGUGGGUAACAUGCCCUGUACACACGGAUAACAUGGCGAAAGCCAUAAUAAUACGGGAUGACAUAGUCGAGAGGCAUCUUUUGACUAUCAAAGGUCAUCCGGUACAGGAUGGACCCGUGUUAGAUUAGCUAGUUGGUGAGAUAAAGGCCCACCAAGGCGACGAUCAGUAGCCGACCUGAGAGGGUGAUCGGCUACAUUGGAACUGAGACACGGUCCAAACUCCCACGGGAGGCAGCAGUGGGGAAUAUUGCACAAUGGGCGAAAGCCUGAUGCAGCAACGCCGCGUGAACGAUGAAGGCCUUCGGGCCGUAAAGUUCUGUCCUCAAGGAAGAUAAUGACGGUACUUGAGGAGGAAGCCCCGGCUAACUACGUGCCAGCCGCCGCGGUAAUAC
rnacentral:rRNA from 1 species